rnacentral:rRNA from 1 species
UACGUAGGGGGCAAGCGUUGUCCGGAAUUAUUGGGCGUAAAGAGCGUGUAGGCGGUCCGGUAAGUCAGCUGUGAAAGUCAAGGGCUCAACCCUUGAAUGCCGGUUGAUACUGUCGGGCUAGAGUCCGGAAGAGGCGAGUGGAAUUCCCGGUGUAGCGGUGAAAUGCGCAGAUAUCGGGAGGAACACCUAUUGCGAAGGCAGCCUUCUGGGCCAACACUGACGCUCAUGCACGAAAGCGUGGGGAGCAAACAGG